GAUGAACGCUGGCGGCGUGCCUAAUACAUGCAAGUCGAGCGAACGGACGAGAAGCUUGCUUCUCUGAUGUUAGCGGCGGACGGGUGAGUAACACGUGGAUAACCUACCUAUAAGACUGGGAUAACUUCGGGAAACCGUAGCUAAUACCGGAUAAUAUUUUGAACCGCAUGGUUCAAAAGUGAAAGACGGUCUUGCUGUCACUUAUAGAUGGAUCCGCGCUGCAUUAGCUAGUUGGUAAGGUAACGGCUUACCAAGGCAACGAUGCAUAGCCGACCUGAGAGGGUGAUCGGCCACACUGGAACUGAGACACGGUCCAGACUCCUACGGGAGGCAGCAGUAGGGAAUCUUCCGCAAUGGGCGAAAGCCUGACGGGGCAACGCCGCGUGAGUGAUGAAGGUCUUCGGAUCGUAAAACUCUGUUAUUAGGGAAGAACAUAUGUGUAAGUAACUGUGCACAUCUUGACGGUACCUAAUCAGAAAGCCACGGCUAACUACAUG
rnacentral:rRNA from 1 species